rnacentral:lncRNA from 1 species
UGCAUAUUGUCACAAUGGAAGAAUAUAAUUCUCCAUGUUAAUAUUAGGCAACAAGAUGCUAUAAAAAUGUUCAGAUAUCGACUGCUUUACAGGAUAAGUAAUGAUGACCUUUUAUACUAUAGAAUGCUAUGCCAGAAGCCACAUACAAAAGCAACGAGGCCAUCUUUAUAAGUUUGAGCAACGGAUAGGCUAGGCAAUGGCAUAUCUGAAAUUCAGCCAAGGCUUCACUAUUGGCAUGGACUGAUGAUUUACUCAUCCUUGAGAUGGAUAAUUAAGAAAAGAAUUUGGAAAUAGUUCUGUGCAAAGAUCGCAAAAUCAUAAAUAAGACCACAUUCAUGGCCAACUAUGAACCUUAAUAAAAAAAUAUCAUAUAGCCACCGAGGUCUCAAGAUUAAGGACUUAGGACUACUAAUUCUUUGUAGGAUAGCAAUAAAG